rnacentral:tRNA from 1 species
GACCGCAUGGCCUAAAGGAUAAGGCGUCUGACUUCAGAUCAGAUGAUUGAAGGUUGAGUCUCUUUGGAGCCG